ACGGGCCCAGCCGCUCCGCGGCAUGUGGGAUCUUCCCGGACCGGGGCACGAACCCGUGUCCCCUGCAUCGGCAGGCGGAUUCUCAACCACUGCGCCACCAGGGAGGAAUCCCCCGCAAUGAUAGCUUUUUUUCUUUUAAAUGACCUUUUAAAUGUACCAGUAAGGUAAAUGUUGGCACUGGCAGGAAGUUCUAUAAUGUGGUCAAGAAUUUUUGACUAGCUGUUGCUCAAAUAAAUGUCUGGAAAGACAAUCUCUCAACCUAUGGACCUACUUGUGGACAAAAAAAAUAGCACUUGAAAAUAGUGUUGGUUCAAAAUAUGAUUUAUUCUAUUCAUAUCUAUUUAACUUGCUAUAUAGUGAUGAACCUGACUGUUAUGUAUGUUGGGUGAGAAAAAUGACUUGUGUUUUGAAGAAUUUAUAUGCUUGUUCGCAUCUGCGGCUAAUAGCAUACAGAUGCUAAUAGCAUACCCCAUACCCAGCUUUACCAUUUUUCUUCCUAAGAGAACCCAAAUAUUAUUUGGGAUAGCGGUAUGUCCAGCUGAAACAUGGCCACUUUAACCUCCCUUGCAGCUGGAGGUGGCACUCUGACACAUUAAUGACCAAUGAGAUAUGAGCAGGAAACCUCCAAGAAAUCAUUCGGAAAGAAAGACUUGGCUGGACCUAGAGAUGAUCAUACUAAGUGAAAUUCCCCAAGAAAUAGAUUGUGAGAUGGAGAUUUGUGUGCAGGAAGCUUAUUGGGAAAAUGCCAAAGAAGCAUGAGACUUCUAAAGUAAACCAUUAGAUGCAGAUGUGAAAUUACUUACCAGAGAGCUACUACUUCUGACACAGGAAAGAAAAAUAUUCUCUCUUCAAUCUCCACUAAUAAACCACCUGAGGGUUCCCAUUAGUUAAGGGGU